rnacentral:lncRNA from 1 species
ACCAAUGAUGAGACAGUGUUUAUGAACAAAAGAUCAUGAUUAAUCCAGUUCUGCACAAAACACUGAGGUCCAUUAGAAGACAAUAGGUCUUGGCUGUUUCAUUCCUUUUAAGAGCUGUUUAAUAUUCCACGGAGCCCUGGGCUCCCCCAGUGUUGCCUGGGUCUGACUUUGCCUCAGUGAAAACUGCCUCGAAUUCUUUCUUGCACCGAUGGGCAGAUGGGCAGUGUCGGAGGAUCGUGUCAUCUGUCCCGUGGCGCUGGUUGGCUUGGUCAAGUCAGUGUUCAAACUAUCUCCUGCUCUUUCAAGGGGAUCUGGGGCUCUAGAAGAUUAGAGGACUUGGAGAGGUUAGUGACUUGCUCGAGGUCGGCUAGGAAGCAAGACCCAGGAUUCCAACUCAGGUCUGUGUGAUUCCUCUGCAAAAUGGAGAGGUGGAAGGAUGGAUGUCAGGUCUGAUGGAUGGAUGGAUGCCUACAUCAAGAUACAUGCAUAGAUGGAGAGAUGGCUGGCUACCUCAUGAAUGCUGGACUGUUGUGAGAAUCAAACGAGAUAAUGUAUGCUGAGGCAUGCUGUGAACACUACGUGCUGGGUACAGGAGAAUGGAGGCUCCAGAGUGAAAUUAAUGACACUUUGUCGAUGAAGAUCUUGAUUGUGACCUCUGUGGAAAAUGAGCCAUGAACCAACCAAUGAUAAGUCUACUUUUCUUCCACGUAACAACCACAGGAUAGAUGACAUUCAUUUUCUAAGAAACAAAAUCUUGGCAGUUAGAUCCGUGGGGUAAAGAAUAUAGAUACUAAUGUAAGUUAACACCUCAAGUUCAUGUCCUUGGUUUGGAUGCUUUGUUCAGGAGUGUUUAGUGGUAUUUCAAAGGAAUCAAUAUCUAUAACAAAUUAAAAUAACCAGGAAUGGACCAGUGAUGGAAAUGUGUUCCGAAAAUAUGUUUAAUAUAAUUUGGCACAACUGAAGUGAUAAAAAUAUAGUAGUUAGACCAUUUAUAUUCACAAUUAUUUAACAUUGUAUCUUAUUUUCUACCUCAAAUGAUUUAAUCUUUUCCAUAUUGGUAUGGUCCUGGCCGAUAACUCUUUGUGUGGCAGCCUGAGAGAAUAUGGAAGACACUGUCAGUGUUGGAAGAUGGUGGUUUUAUCACUUUUCAUUGCACUGUCUUUAAAACAUGGGCAAAUUGACUAAAAGAAGACUACAGAAGAAAUAAUGGUGAUUGUGAAUUUGGUAUGAAGCAUGGAUGUUAAUUAAUCACACAUGUUCUCUGAGGUCCAUUGUAAAAGGAGACCUAGUCUUCAGGGAGAGAGCCACUAAUGGGGAGAUCUUAUUCCUAGAAUUUUGUGGUUAUAUUAUUAUUCAUGAACCAAUGAAUAAUAAAUGAAUGAUAUAAAGGAAGAAAAACGUGCUUGGACCAAUGAUGAGUACCAUGGGGUAUCUGAAACAGGAUUUUUGAUUAAACCCAUAUGCAAUUCUGAGGUCCAUUACAAAGAGACACGUAUUAUUCCUUUUUUGGGAAGUGAGCCUAUGGUACCUUUUCCUUGGACUUUGUGGUUCUUGGGGAUGGAUUGCAUUUUUGUUAUAAAAUCAGCCCAUGAAUUAAAAAUUUAUCAAUGAGUAAAACAUAAAGCAUAAGUCAUGUACUUAUUAUCAGUGACUGUAAUGAAACAUGGAUUAUUAUUAAAACUUAUCUGAGACUCCCAAUAAAUUAAUACCCAAGGCUUCUACCAUUCUGGUAAGGAGCAUAUGGUCAUUUGUAUGCAAGAGUCAGUUUUUGUUCUGUGUUGGUGGUGGGUUGCUGACUAUUUUAUGAAGAAAAUGAAGCAUCUUUAAUCAUAUAAAUAGUUGGUUAAAUAACCACUUAAUUGAGACCAAGCAGAGACCAAUGAUGAGUGUAUUAAUCUAUUUUUUAAUGGAUUUUUAUUAAACAAAUAAUAAAAGAAACACAGUCUAUUCUUCCUGAGGGCAAUAACUCUAGACAGAUGUAAAUAUUCUUCAGUGUUCUUGUCCAGUGCUGUGAGAUCACAGAUACUGAUGUCUUUUGUAUAUGAGAAGGAACUUGCAUUUUUAUGUCUCAGUUUAUAUUUUAGAGUCAGCAAACCAUGGACCAAUUAGGAACAAAUGUUAUGAUAUGAGAAUGCUGAUUCUUGUUUUUUUUUUUCAUGAUAGACAUUCUAAGAAAAACUCUAGGCUCUCUCAUUGUUUUUGGAAUACAUACAUGGUUCUUUCCAAGUAGUUUCUUAGAAAAAUGUUUUUAAAAAGAGGCUUUUAAAAAGAGCCUUUUAAAAUGUUUUUAAAAGAAGGCUUUAUUUUUCUCUAUAGAAUGAAAACCAUGUAGCUGGUCUUAUUAUUCUCUAAUCAUGAAGACCAUUAUUGUUAUUUGUGGACUAAGGAGCAGAAAGACUGAUAGUGGACAUAGGCCAGCUGAUUUAAUAAUUUAAGAAAGAACUGUUAUCCUGAGUAAGGAGCAUAGAGACAAAUAUAAAAUGAACGCACUCUACCUGAUUUAAUUAUAGUCUUCUGGUGAAGAUCUUGCUGUUAUCUCUGUGAAUCAGGAGAGAAGAGAUUGAUGAAUAGACGAGAUUGGAUUUGGUCAUUUCCCCAAGGUGAAGAGCAUGGCGAUUUCUUCUGUGGUAAGGAGCAAUAAUGAAGACCAUGGUUGAUUUAAUCAGUCUCUGCUGAUGAAGAUCUUGGCUGUUACCUUUGUGUAAUGAAUGCGCAAUGAUUCAAUUAUUCUCCAGCGAGGAAGAUCAUGGUUGUUGUCUGUUUGAGUAAUGAGUGUAGAAACCUAUAAUGGAGGCGUGAUGGCUGAUGCAAUCAUUUUCCACUGAUGAAGGUUUUGAUGGCCACCUGUAAUGAACAGCCCCAUCUGAUUUAAUCACUGUGCAAUGACCGUGAACUGUACAGUUACCUCCGUGUGUCACAGGAAGACUCUUUUGACUUAAGCACCCUUCCAUGGUCAUGAGGUUUCUGGUUGCCUCUGUGUGUUAGAAGCUUGGAGACCAAUGCCUUCUGCUGUGAUCGCGUUCUCCACAGUUGCCUCUGGGUAGGAGCCUGGACACUAAUAGAAAAUGGAUGCACUGGAGCUGAUUUAAACAUUCUUUGGUGGUCACAAGAUGUAUAGCUGCCUCUGUAUGUUUGGCGCAUGGAAAAAAAUAUGAGUUUUUGUGGACAUACACUCUUUAUUUGAAAAGUAUGAAAUAUAAUCCAAGAAAGCCAGCCAUGGCUCAGUGAUAAAUAUGGAAUUGAUAUGAAACAUUAUAUUGAUUAAUCACCUUUGAGGAUGAUUAAUAAAAGAGAGAAAGUGAUUCUAUAUAGAGAUGCAGGACUAUUUCAGGCUCAUUCAUGAUCUAGGUUUUUGUGCUUCAUGGUUAUUUUAUUAUCAUCAAUAAAAAGAAAAAAGAAAAAAAUCUUAUACUGUCCAAAAAAUUAGGGAGACCAGCGCCCAGUGUUCAUGUGAGGGGGGACUAGUGUCCAUUUCCACCAAGCAGCCUGGAAAUGCUCAUCCUCACAGGGCAUUGGAGAGGUUUCUCAAGAAGCGAGUGCCUCCAUGGGGGAAAUAAUUAACCCCAGAUUAAAUGCUGCUUCAGACCUAAUGGAUGGUAAAAACAAGAUCCAAAAGGAUCAAACUCUUUCCAGGUAGAUUAACUGUAUCCCAGAACAAAGCUCAAGGACAUUUUUAGAAAUACGUAUAUAUCCAGCACACAAGCAGGGUAAAAUUCACAUCUGCAAAUUUACCAGGCAUUCAAAGGGGCAAAAAAUACACAACCCACAAUUAAGAGACUAAUGAAUUAAUCAAAACCAACCCAGAACUUAUACAGAUGUGAGCAUUAGCAGAAAAGGACUUGAAGUAGUUAUUAGAACUGUCUCCCUGGCCGGGUGUGGUGGCUCAUGCCUGUAAUCCCAGCACUUUGGGAGGCCGAGGUGGGUGGAUCACCUCAGGUCAGGAGUUCAAGACCAGUCUGGCCAAAAUGGUGAAACCCCACCUCUACUAAACAUGGACCAAUGAUGACCACUGGUGGCGUUUGAGUCAUGGACGAUGAAUACUACGUGUCUGAAACUCUGAGGUCCAACAGAAAACAUAAUUGGAUAGAUAUCAGAAAUGUGCAAAGAUCAUAUUCUUACUUUGGAUUAAUAGAUUGAGGUUCAUCAUCAAUAGAUAAAUGAUAGAACAAUUAAACAAGAAUAAAUAAAGGUGAAUCAUUGUUCAAUUAUGAAUAUACAUGAUGAUGUAAGAAAUAUUAUCACUAAAAAUUUUAAACACAGAUGCCCCUUAAAGAAAUGGAUCAUGAGUCCCGCCACUGCACUCCAGCCUGGGCGACAGAGCGAGACUCCGUCUCAAAAAAAAAAAAAAAAAAAAAAAAAAAAAAGAAAUGGAUCAUGAGUAUCAGCUCUUUGGCUAAGGUUCAUCUAGACUCUUAAUAAGUAAGAGUCAGUUUCAUUUUCUGGUUAAGUCUCAUUUGACAUUGUUCCUUUUGUUAUGAGAGAAAACAUUUCCAUUCUGAAAAAUUAAUCAAUAUAAAAAUAACUGAAUAACAGAAAUAUGGAAAGGAUCAAUGGAGAUAAGGUUUGAAUUUUUUCUAAAAGAGUUACCUGCUCUUUGUAUUCUGCAGAAUGGAUGCACUUGAGCCGACCUAAGCAUUCAUGGUCAUGAGAUUUGUGGUUGCCACUGUUGGUUAGGAGCAUAGAGAUCAGUAAUGGACACACCUGGGCUGGCAGAACAUCUUGCCUUGAUCUGGAGCCCCAUGUCUGCCCCUCUGUAGAGGUGCACAUGGGCCAAUGAUGGAUGCAAUGAGCUGAUCAUUUUGCUGUGAUCAAGGCUAUGUUGCCUCUGUGUUAGGCCAAUGGUUGAUGUUCAUGGGUGAUUGAUCAUCCUGUAGCGACGGUGGUAUUGACUGUUCCCCAGAGGACAAGGAGUGUGUUCUUAUAAUGGACAUCAUGAUUGGGAUUGUCUUUAUUAAACUUUGUCAGGAGAGUAAAGAUCAAUGUGGCCACAUGUUGUGGCUCAUGCCUGUAAUCCCAACACUGUAAUCCCAGCACUGUAAUCCCAGCCUGUAAUCCCAGGCUGAGGUGGGCGGAUCACCUGAGGUUGGGAGUUCGAGACCAGCCUGACCAACAUGGAGAAACCCCGUCUCUACUAAAAAUACAAAAUUAGCCGGGCAUGGUGGCGCAUGUCUUUAAUUCCAGCUACUCAGGAGGCUGAGGCAGGAGAAACGCUUGAACCCGAGAGGCGGAGGUUGCAGUGAGCUGAGAUUGCGCCAUUGCACUCCAGCCUGGGCAACAAGAGUGAAACUCCAUCUCAAAAGAAAAAAAAAAGAAAACAAAACAAAAAAAGAAAAAACCAAUGUUCCAAUAGUUUCCCAAAUCAUGCUGAUGCUGCCUCCUGAGAAAUAUUUUCAGAAUCACUGAGAAAAAUGUAUGAAAUAGUUAAUGUCCUUGCUCUGUGUCAGUGGUGGAGGCUGUCUGCAGUAGGAGCAUGGAGACCAACAAUGGAUGCUCUUAAACUGAUUUAAGCACGCUUCCAUGGUCAGAAGCCUUAUGGUUGCCACAGGGUAUUAGGAGCAUGGAGACCAAUAAUGGAUGUCCUUGUUCUGAUUUGAGGAUGCCUCCAAGGUCACAUACUCUGUUUGCACCACGCUUAGGAAGGAGCGUGAAGACCAAGGGGAGUAAUAGUCAAAGUCCUUACCUUUGUUUGGGUGGUUUGUUUAAGAGUAAUCAACGUAUUAUUUAAAAGUGUGAAAUACAGUCAAAGAUGGCCAAUGUUAUUCCAGUGAUAUGGGAGUGACAUGAAGUAUUAUAUUGAUGAUGCAUAUAUAAAAAACAGGAUAGUUAAUGAAACACCCAAUGUUUGAGUGAUUCUGUAUACUGAUAGGGAAUAUCAAGAGUGUUACUGGGUUUUGUGAAUCACGGGCCUUGAAAGUAUUAUUAAUGAAUAAAUGACAUAAUCAAUAGACAAGGUAGAAAUGAAUAGCAAAAAAAAAGAAGAUCAAUGAUGACUACUGUUAGUGUAUGAGUUACACAUGAUGAAUACAUGUCUGAAACUCUGAGGUCCAUCACAAAAGAAAUCUGGCCCAUUCCUUCUGAUUCAGGUGAUCCUAUGAAUAUACAAUGUGUUUGCUUUUGGUCUUUGGGUUUGUUCACUUCACUGUAUUAUUAUAAUUGGAUCAAUGAAAUAAUUUAUACGUAUACAUGUACGUAUAUGAAGGGGAUGAAGUAUUGUCCAAUUAUAAAAUAAGUGGUGAGGCAAGAUGUAUUAUUAUUAUUAUAUUAAAGCAUUAUAUUAAAGCUUUAAUAUAUUAAAUAAAAAUCUAAUAUUAAUAUAUAAUUAAUGCAAUAUUUAAUAUAUAUUAAAUAUGAUAACAUAUUAAAAUAUUAUAUUAAAGCAUUGAAGUCCUAAGGGAAAUAAAUGGUACCCCACUGUAACGUCUUUGACUAAGGAUGAUACAGGUGGUAGUUAUAGAUAAUGGUCAACCUCUGGGUCAAGGAAAGUUGCACAAAGUGUUCAUUUUCUUAAGAGAAAAUGAAAUAAUUAUCCUUCAGAUAGUGAUUUCUCAAAUGUUUUCCUAAAGGGAAGAUGAUAAACACAGAUCAUGGAGGACUGUUUUAUCUGUUUGUGAUCUGCCGUCCUCUGUGAGCCUCAGGAUGGAUGUUUGCCAGCCGAUUCCAUGGUUACAAGCUCUAUAGCUGCAUCUAUGUGUUAGGAGCAUGAAGACCAAUAAUGGAUGCACUGAGCUGAUUAUGAAUUUAGCCCUGAUGAAGACUUGUGUUGCUGUCAUGAUAUGAAAGAUUCCAGUAAUGAACGCACUUGAGUUGAUUCAAGCACGCUUCCAUGGUCAUGAGCUCUGUGGUUGCAUCUGUGUGUUAGGAGCAUGCAGACCAAUAGUGAUAAUCUCGAGGUGAUUUAUGCAUUCUUCCAUGGCCACCAGCCUUAUGAUUGCAUCUGUGCGUCACAGCUUAGAGAUCAAUAAUGGAUGCAACAAGCUCUUUGAAUCAUUCUGUUGGGAUCAAGAUUGUUGUGUUCCCUCUGUUUGGAAAGAGACCAAGAAUGGAUACGCUCAGGUGAUUUAAGCAGUCUUCCAUGGCCACGAGCUCUGUGGUUGCCUCUGUAUAUUAAGAGCACAGAGAUUAAAAAUGGGUGCACUUGAGCCGAUUGAAACAUUCCUCCUUGCAUCUUUCUUCUGUGAUUGCAUCUAUUUGUUAGUAGCAUAGAGACCAAUAAUAGAUGGCUUGUGCUGAUGGAAGGAUUCCUCCCUGGUGACAUGCUGUGUCUGCCUCUUGAUUGGGAGCACGCAGACCUACAAUGAUGCACUUUUUAUGAUUUGAGAAUUCCUUCAUGGUCACGUGCUCUGUUUUUAUCAUGGUUGGGAGCCUGCAGAGCAAUAAGGGACAUGCCUUUGCUGAUUUGAGGAUUCCUCUGAGGUUGGGAGCUAAGUUUGCAUCAUGCUUAGAAAGGAGUGUGCAGACCUGUAAUGAUUGCACUUUGCUGAUUGAAGGAUUCCUUCAAGUCCAUGUGCUCCACUUGCACCAUUUUUAGGAUGGAGCCUGGAGACCUAUAAUGAACAACUUGUGCUGUGUUAAGGAUUCCUCCAUGAUCACGCGCCCCAUUUGUACACCAUGCUUGGGAAGGUGCAUGCAGACCAAUGUUAGUAAUAGUCAAAAUUCCUGUGUCGGUUUGUGUGGUUUGCUAAACAGGACUCAAUGUAUCAUGAAACAGUGUAUUAUAUAGUCAACUAUGGUCAACUAUGUCCCAGUGAUAUUUAUGAGAGGGAUCUGAAGUAUUUAUUGAUAAUGCAUAUAUGAAAAACGGAGAAGAAUUAAUGAAACAGAUAUAUCUGUGUUAGAAUGAUUCUGUAUAAAGAUAGGGAAUAUCAAGUCUGUUCUUAGUGUUUUGUGAAUCACAGAGUGUAAAAUUAUUCCCAGUGAAUUAAUGAAUAAAUUUAAAGACAACAUAGAAAUGAAUGCAGAAAAAGAGGGUCAACCCUGGAUCGAUGAUGAGCACUGGUGGAGUAUGAGUCACAUACGAUGAAUACGUGUCUGGAACUCUGAGGU